rnacentral:rRNA from 1 species
CAUGCAAGUCGAGGGGCAGCAUAAUGGAUAGCAAUAUCUAUGGUGGCGACCGGCGCACGGGUGCGUAACGCGUAUGCAACCUACCUUUAACAGGGGGAUAACACUGAGAAAUUGGUACUAAUACCCCAUAAUAUCAUAGAAGGCAUCUUUUAUGGUUGAAAAUUCCGAUGGUUAGAGAUGGGCAUGCGUUGUAUUAGCUAGUUGGUGGGGUAACGGCUCACCAAGGCGACGAUACAUAGGGGGACUGAGAGGUUAACCCCCCACACUGGUACUGAGACACGGACCAGACUCCUACGGGAGGCAGCAGUGUGGAAUAUUGGUCAAUGGACGCAAGUCUGAACCAGCCAUGCCGCGUGCAGGAUGACGGCUCUAUGAGUUGUAAACUGCUUUUGUACGAGGGUAAACGCAGAUACGUGUAUCUGUCUGAAAGUAUCGUACGAAUAAGGAUCGGCUAACUCCGUGCCAGCAGCCGCGGUAAUACGGAGGAUUCAAGCGUUAUCCGGAUUUAUUGGGUUUAAAGGGUGCGUAGGCGGUUUGAUAAGUUAGAGGUGAAAUUUCGGGGCUCAACCCUGAACGUGCCUCUAAUACUGUUGAGCUAGAGAGUAGUUGCGGUAGGCGGAAUGUAUGGUGUAGCGGUGAAAUGCUUAGAGAUCAUACAGAACACCGAUUGCGAAGGCAGCUUACCAAACUAUAUCUGACGUUGAGGCACGAAAGCGUGGGGAGCAAACAGGAUUAGAUACCCUGGUAGUCCACGCAGUAAACGAUGAUAACUCGUUGUCGGCGAUACACAGUCGGUGACUAAGCGAAAGCGAUAAGUUAUCCACCUGGGGAGUACGUUCGCAAGAAUGAAACUCAAAGGAAUUGACGGGGGCCCGCACAAGCGGAGGAACAUGUGGUUUAAUUCGAUGAUACGCGAGGAACCUUACCCGGGCUUGAAAGUU